rnacentral:lncRNA from 1 species
GCGUAUCUCGCGUGUCGAUCACAUGUGUCGUGCGGAGUCCGCACGUGAUAAUAAAUUGUUUUCGCUUAUAAACACUCAUGUUAAUAAGGUUAAUUCGUCAUGUCAUAUAUUUUAGAUAAUCAACUUAAGGUUUGCGUGACUAAUAUUUAUUAGAUUAAUAUCUCGGUUAGAUUAAAUGUGUAAUGUUUAAUUUGCGCUUUUCAAAAUAAACAUUAAUAUGGCAAAUGUUAAUCUAACUACUUUUUAUUUACUUAAUAUUUGUUUAAUAUAAACGCGACAUCUAUUUAGUUUUUCUCGCCUGUCAGGCAUGCUGUUCCGCACGUGGUGCGUUCUCGUUCACGUUGGUCGCGCACGCUGUUUCGUGUGUCGUCAGUGUGCUAUGUCGCACGUGCCGCGCUUGGUGCGAGCGCUAGGGCGCGUGGUGCGGUCGUGUUGUUUCACGCGUUACGUAUUUCGUCUUGCUCCGCUAAUUCGUCCCGCUUAGUGUCGCUAAUGUUAUUUAACUUACUUAUUUAACUAAGAAUUGUUGGUGUGGUCAGCUAAUUAAAAUUGUGCGAUAGCUCUAGUUUUAUUUUAAAUAAAUAUCGAUUAACAUAAUCAGAUCAAACUAAAUGUUAUGAUUAGUACUCGUUUAGUUUAGACACGAUAACUUCUUGAACGUAGCUCCGCCUGUCGCGUUUCUUUUUCCUCGAGUGGUCGUAGUAACACGCUCUAUUUCGUUUUGUAUAUUUUAUUAUGUUCUUAUUUGAAUGGUGUAAUGUUCUUAUGCAUAUAUAUGUUUGUUUGUGCCUGUUUUAUUCGUUGUGCGUCGCGAAUAGAUUGCGAUCCGUUUCCGAGCUUCGAGGGAUCAAAGAUCGAGCGUUGGCGACCAAGUGAUCCAGUUCUUCGAGUUCCACAAGGUUGAAGACCCUGAGCAUCUGUUUGGUGAAGGCAAGUGUCCUCUGACCUAUUAUGUCCCAUUUACUUUAUAAUACACUGUCUCGCAUACUAUGAACAACCUAAGGAUUUACUAGCUUUCUAUUUACCUUGUCCUUGAUUUACCUUUUGGGUUACUAUGGUUAGCUACAUGCUAGCCCUUUACUUUAAUCAAUGAACAUGAUGAGAUACAAUGAUAAUACUAUGAUUUUAUUCUGGAUAUGAUGAUAUACUUGUGGCAUUUAAGGGGACUCGGGCUGUUUCUCGAGUACCUCUCCGUAAGGACCUGUUCGUUGAGAGACCACCCGGGAUAACAGUGCAACCAUGAGGGUGAAAUGGGAUGCCCUUAGCUAAUUAAUUGGAGGAACUAGAGGUGUAGUUGCUUCGCCGUCGUGCCGUCAAUGGGGUCCAGACACAGUGCUUGCUUUGCCGAGGCUGAGUGCCGAGGUUCUUUCGUUUUGCUUUUGUUAGUCACCCUCCUGCGGGGAGAGGUACUGUGUUUAUCAAACUGGAGAAACCUAACGGGCGGCUAUGACCUCUAGAGAAUCUUUGUAAAGGCUACGUAGUGAUACCCGGCCGGACCACCUAGGAAGUGAUCAAUGGGGAGUCAUUUGCCGGUCGGACCACCUAGGAAGUGAUCCGCGUGUCGUUCGCACUCGUUGUUUACGUUGUUUCGCGCGGUCGCGCGUGUUAUUAAAUCUGUUUCGACCCAUUCGCGUUACGUUAAUUUCAUAACAAUAUCGUCAACAUAUUAAUAAUAUUAUUUCAUCACGCCACAAGUCUAUAUUAUUUAAUUAGCUAUUCAUUCGAUACUUAUUAAAAUGACUUUUUAAUUAAAACUGUUUUAUAGUUUUUAACUCGCGCUUUUAUAAAUAAAUGUUAGUUAACUUGAUUAAUACCAUCUUAAAUACUUUUAAUUAAUUAUUUGUUUGUUGUUGUUCGCGCAUGACAUCGUUUGCGCGUCAUCGUGUUGUUCGUGCGCGUUGUUGCGCGCAUUGUUUCGCGUGUAAUCGUGCGCUGUUUGCGCAUCGCCGUUGUUCGUUCGCGUGUGUCGCGCGUGCUGUUCGUACGCGUUGUCACACGUCAUUUACGUGCGCGCGUGUGCCAUUUACACGUGUCGCUUACCUUGCCACGCAUUGUUAGCGCGUAUCUCGCGUGUCGAUCACAUGUGUCGUGCGGAGUCCGCACGUGAUAAUAAAUUGUUUUCGCUUAUAAACACUCAUGUUAAUAAGGUUAAUUCGUCAUGUCAUAUAUUUUAGAUAAUCAACUUAAGGUUUGCGUGACUAAUAUUUAUUAGAUUAAUAUCUCGGUUAGAUUAAAUGUGUAAUAUUUAAUUUGCGCUUUUCAAAAUAAACAUUAAUAUGGCAAAUGUUAAUCUAACUACUUUUUAUUUACUUAAUAUUUGUUUAAUAUAAACGCGACAUCUAUUUAGUUUUUCUCGCCUGUCAGGCAUGCUGUUCCGCACGUGGUGCGUUCUCGUUCACGUUGGUCGCGCACGCUGUUUCGUGUGUCGUCAGCGUGCUAUGUCGCACGUGCCGCGCUUGGUGCGAGCGCUAGGGCGCGUGGUGCGGUCGUGUUGUUUCACGUGUUACGUAUUUCGUCUUGCUCCGCUAAUUCGUCCCGCUUAGAGUCGCUAAUGUUAUUUAAAUUACUUAUUUAACUAAGAAUUGUUGGUGUGGUCAGCUAAUUAAAAUUGUGCGAUAGCUCUAGUUUUAUUUUAAAUAAAUAUCGAUUAACAUAAUCAGAUCAAACUAAAUGUUAUGAUUAGUACUCGUUUAGUUUAGACACGAUAACUUCUUGAACGUAGCUCCGCCUGUCGCGUUUCUUUUUCCUCGAGUGGCCGUAGUAACACGCUCUAUUUCGUUUUGCAUAUUUUAUUAUGUUCUUAUUUGAAUGGUGUAAUGUUCUUAUGCAUAUAUAUGUUUGUUUGUGCCUGUUUUAUUCGCUGUGCGUCGCGAAUAGAUUGCGAUCCGUUUCCGAGCUUCGAGGGAUCAAAGAUCGAGCGUUGGCGACCAAGUGAUCCAGUUCUUCGAGUUCCACAAGGUUGAAGACCCUGAGCAUCUGUUUGGUGAAGGCAAGUGUCCUCUAACCUAUUAUGUCCCAUUUACUUUAUAAUACACUGUCCCGCAUACUAUGAACAACCUAAGGAUUUACUAGCUUUCUAUUUACCUUGUCCUUGAUUUACCUUUUGGGUUACUAUGGUUAGCUACAUGCUAGCCCUUUACUUUAAUCAAUGAACAUGAUGAGAUACAAUGAUAAUACUAUGAUUUUAUUCUGGAUAUGAUGAUAUACUUGUGGCAUUUAAGGGGACUCGGGCUGUUUCUCGAGUACUUCUCCGUAAGGACCUGAUCGUUGAGAGACCACCCGGGAUAACAGUGCAACCAUGAGGGUGAAAUGGGAUGCCCUUAGCUAAUUAAUUGGAGGAACUAGAGGUGUAGUUGCUUCGCCGUCGUGCCGUCAAUGGGGUCCAGACACAGUGCUUGCUUUGCCGAGGCUGAGUGCCGAGGUUCUUUCGUUUUGCUUUUGUUAGUCACCCUCCUGCGGGGAGAGGUACUGUGUUUAUCAAACUGGAGAAACCUAACGGGCGGCUAUGACCUCUAGAGAAUCUUUGUAAAGGCUACGUAGUGAUACCCGACCGGACCACCUAGGAAGUGAUCAAUGGGGAGUCAUGAUCCCCGGGCAAAACGGGAAUCACGACUCAUGGGUAAAGUGUGCGACCUCUGCAGAGGGUAAUGAAACUGAUAUAUCAGUCGUGCUCACGGUUAAGAGCAGCCUUGGGAUCCUCUUUGAUUAGAGAUACAUAUGAUCGAGAUACAAUGGUUCUAUUUAUGGUUUUGGUCUGAUGAUGAUAAUGAUGCUUCCUCGAUGAGGAAAUGGUUCACAGGUUGGUUAUAUGAUAAAACUUGGCUUCCACUAAUAAUAAACACCUGGCCAACUAAAAGCAACUGCUUGAGCUUAACUCCACAUAAAGCUAGUCCACCUCAGCCAAACAUGACAUUUGCUGAGUACGUUGAUGUGUACUCACCCUUGCUUUCACAAAAUAUCAGGUUGCCUUUGGUGCAAUCUAUGCUCAGGUAAAUAAGAAGGCGUCGAGGCAGUUCUCCAGGAGUUCCAGGACUUCGACGAGUUCGAGGAUUAGGCUAGCGACCUCCCCCAGUCAGCUGCCUGUGGUGGGUUUAUUUACAUUGGCUACGUUUCGAUUCUGUGUACUUUGAUUCGUAUUAUGUAAAUGACUCUAAUCUUUAAUAUCAUUAUUUAUUCUUUAUUGUUAUUCGAAGC